AUUUGGAAUAGCAACUUCAGGCUAUGCCUGCAGUUGCUAUACAGAAUAUUCAAGUAGAUAAAUUUUGAUAUAUUCUUAUUAGCUGUUGUACCAGCCAAACUUCUUUCCUGAUGGUAGUCUUGUAUUCCACAUAACUGGCUUUGAAGAUGGAAGAAAUACAGCUGUUACCAUUGUUGCUGUAGCUCAAAGCUGUGGAGUCCUGGACAUUGAUGUCAUAUCCUAGACCAGAUUGCAACAGCAACAAUCAAGAACUAGAGCAGUCCCCUUUGACUGUUUCAGCACACCUUGGAUCAGGGACACAGAGGAAAAAGGUGAAGACUGUAACAGUGGGUAAAAUGUAAUGUCUGGUUCCAUGCUGUAAUGCUGAGGUAGUUAGCUGUUACUCAGUGGCAACUUGUAAUUUCAGUGGCCUCCCCAUUUUGUCCCAGGUAGCUCAGGAAGUCUGUGGAACAGCCAUAUCCAAAUCUUCAUGUACAGGACCUUAAAAAAAGAGUAGCUUCCUUUAUGGCAAGACCACUUCCCUUAUCCUCACUUCUGAAAAGGUAAUGAUACGGUUUGAUAUAGUGCAAAAUACUGGUUAUUAGGCAGUUAUACAAAAGUAGGAUGAAUGCUUUCAAGAAGAAUGAGAAAUUAUGGAAUAUAAGUUAUACCACUGCAUGUCAUUUCAGAUCCUGUGUAAGUUAAAGAAAAAAAAAAGCCUCCCAUAGAAAACAAACGAGUACAUAGAAGCCACAAAUUAUGAUUCUUAAUUAGAAAAGGAAAGUCAGCAUUUGGAAUACUUGACAGCACUUUUGCAAUUGAGAGCUUCUUAAUCCAAAGACAAGUUCAGCUAGAAACCAUGAUACACCUUAAACAGCACAUAAAAACUGAUAUGAUCUUAUCUGCUCCUAUAAACCUUGCAGUUAUGAUUCUAUAUCAAAACUAUUAGUUUGUUUUUAUUCAGAGUGACACAUCUGCACUUCAUUGUAUCCUCAGACUUAAAUAUAUUAUGCUUUAACUACCAUUACACAGGCUCUUUCAUCCUAUGCCAGACAUUUCACUUGAAUUUUGUUUUACUGAAUGCUUAUUUUAUGAUAGGUUUUAUUCUUUGUGGUUUGGUUUGGUUUGA